CACCGUACUGGUCCAAACUGGGGCCAUUCCAAGGCUGAUACUGGGCCCAGAUCCUGCUCCCAUUCCCAGUUUGAUACUGGGCCAGACUGGUCCCAGUUCCAUCCCAGUUCAUCCCAGUUCAUCCCAGUUCAUCCCAGUUCCAAACCAACUCCUGGCUGUCCAUCCAUGGAUUUAUUCCACACAAAAUCCCGGAAUUCUGCCCCAAAAUCCCCCAAAAUUCCAAACAAAAUCCCAGAAAUUUCCCCCCAAAAUCCCAGAAUUUGGCCCAAAAUUCCACAAAAAAUUCCACAAAAAAAUCCACAAAAAAAUCCACAAUUCUGCCCAACUAUUCCAAAAAAUUCCACAAAAAAAUCCCAGAAUUCUGCCCAAAAAUCCAGGAAUUUUACUCCAAAUCCCAGAAAUUUUCCCCAAAAAUCCCCAAAAUUCCACCCAAAAUCCCAGGAAUUUUCCCCAAAAAUCUCCAAAAUUCUGGAAUGGGGCUCCCCCUAUAAAUAUAGUGCAAAAAAAAACAAAAAAAAAACCAAAAAAUGGGAAAAAAAUUUGAGAAUUUCCCAAAAUCGUGGGAGGGUCCAGCCAGGUUUUGGGAUGGGCAGAAAAUCCCGAAAAUCCUCGGGGGAAAUUCUGAGAAAAUUCCAGGAAUUUGGGGAAUUUGGGGAGUUUUGAGGGGAUUUUAAUGGGAAUUUUUGGGAAUUUUGAGGGAAUUUUUGG
rnacentral:lncRNA from 1 species